GCCUAAUACAUGCAAGUCGAACGGUCUUUCUAUGGAAGCUUGCUUCCACUGAGAAGAUAGUGGCGAACGGGUGAGGUAACACGUGGGGUAACCUGCCCAUAAGAGGGGGGAUAACAUCCGGAAACGGGUGCUAAUACCGCAUAGUUUUCUUGAUCGCAUGAUUGAGAAAGGAAAGACGGCCUUUGUGCUGUCGCUUAUGGAUGGACCCGCGGCGUAUUAGUUAGUUGGUGAGGUAACGGCUCACCAAGACGAUGAUACGUAGCCGACCUGAGAGGGUGAUCGGCCACAUUGGGACUGAGACACGGCCCAAACUCCUACGGGAGGCAGCAGUAGGGAAUCUUCCGCAAUGGACGAAAGUCUGACGGAGCAACGCCGCGUGAGUGAAAGAAGGUUUUCGGAUCGUAAAACUCUGUUGUCAGAGAAGAACAAGUUGGAGAGUAACUGCUCCAGCCUUGACGGUAUCUGACCAGAAAGCCACGGCUAACUACGUGCCAGCCGCCGC
rnacentral:rRNA from 1 species